GCGGGAGUAGUUCAAUGGUAGAACCUUAGCCUUCCAAGCUAAUGACACGGGUUCGAUUCCCGUCUCCCGCUCCA
rnacentral:tRNA from 4 species